UACGUAGGGGGCAAGCGUUGUCCGGAUUUAUUGGGCGUAAAGAGCGUGUAGGCGGCCAGAUAGGUCAGCUGUGAAAACUCGAGGCUCAACCUCGAGAUGUCGGCUGAAACCAUCUGGCCAGAGUCCGGAAGAGGAGAAUGGAAUUCCCGGUGUAGCGGUGAAAUGCGCAGAUAUCAGGAAGAACACCAAUGGCGAAAGCAGCUCUCUGGGACGGUACUGACGCUGAGACGCGAAAGCGUGGGGAGCGAACAGG
rnacentral:rRNA from 1 species